AGAGAAAAAAAAAUCAUACACCACAAACAAUAUAUACCUUAAAACACUAAUAAAUUAAAAGACAUAUUAUUAUUAUAGCUAAUCAUUAGGCUCAUAGCUCCAAUCUAUUCGCCAGCUUCCGGGGUACAAAAUAAAGAAAUACAUUAAUUAAAGACUUCGCGCUUCUGAUAUAUUCAUUAGCGUUUGAGAAAGUAAUAUAUUCUCGUUGAUGCGCUUCUGAUACACCUGAACUAAGUACUUUUUAGACUUAUUAUUAGCUUCAUCUUUUGUCAGCAGCUCGAGAUCGUAAAUGUAUGAUCCUUUAUCGUGCCAUAAUUCUCUGCAACCAAGGAUCUUUACUAGACUCAGAUUCACGAUAUAACGCACACGGUUGUUAUAGUCAUUGAUAGCAGUAAUCGCCAUAUACCUCACGGUAGGGCUGUUAACGUCCACAGUUAAUGGAAGAUUCCUACGUAUAAUUAGUGAUGCUGACUCUCGGCGGCUGAAGGCAGAGUAGAGAGGAGCAAAGCAAAAGAAAAAGAGAAUAAUAAUAAUAAUAACAAGGCAAGUGGUUCUCAUCAUUGUGAUAGCUUUAUUUUGUUGGUGGUAUCGUAGUUUGUUGGUUGCAAUUUAUAGUAAGCGCCGGUUAUUGUGUAUUGACCCUUGAAUUUACCUAAUGUAUAUUUGUCCUAAGAGGAGUACUAAGGAUCAGGAGAUUUUGUAAUUUUUUUACUAGAGAUAGGAAGAUUCGAAUCGUAAUUUUUAAGUGAGUAUGAGAAAACUAUGUCAUUUGAGUUAUGCUAUUUGAGUUAUAGUUCGUUGACAGUAAAUUGUAUAAUUUGUAGCUAUUAACUAGUUAUUAUUAUUUUUAAUAGUAUAAAAUUAUAUCUAAUAGUAUGUGAUUACUCAUUUUUUUUAUUAGUUAAGUGCUAGUCAGAUUUUAAUAAAAGUGUUGGGCCCUAAUUUUAGUGCUUGUUUAAGUGCCAUUAAAUUGAUAAAAAAUAUCUUUUNNNNNNNNNNNNNNNNNNNNNNNNNNNNNNNNNNNNNNNNNNNNNNNNNNNNNNNNNNNNNNNNNNNNNNNNNNNNNNNNNNNNNNNNNNNNNNNNNNNNNNNNNNNNNNNNNNNNNNNNNNNNNNNNNNNNNNNNNNNNNNNNNNNNNNNNNNNNNNNNNNNNNNNNNNNNNNNNNNNUAAAAACACUGUCUUUAAGAGUCAUCAUUAAAGUAAUUAAAAUGAUUAAAAAAUUUAAAGAAUCAAGGAACUUAAAUAAAUAAAAUUGAAUGGAAAACCACCGCACUACCAUUCACAAUGACAGUUUUGAAAUCUUGUUCAGAGCUUCUCGACAAGGAUGAGAGUGUCUAAUAGAUAUCAUGGAAUAUUAGGCAACAAUUUAUAAAGGAUUUUGGAUGUGUGGAGAUUAAAUAAUAAAUAUCACGCGACAUUUAAAAAGUUUAGAUACAAGAGUUGUAUGAAACUAUGAGUAUGUCGGUGUAUUGGAUAACAUGAAAUUAAAGUCCCAACAAAUACAAAAAAGUUUACGCAUAAUUUUUUACAAAAAAUUAUUAGUUUUAUUUUUUAUAAUAUUAUUUAUCUGGCAUAUGAUACUGAUUAUUUGAUUGACAUAUGAAUGAUACAGUUUAUAUUUAUUAAUAAUUUGUUAAUAUAUUAAUAGAUUAAUUUUCUAAACUAUUAAUUAUGUUGAGUAUUAUACGUGACAUCUAAAUACAUGAAAAUUUAUUUAAUUGGCUUAUAAAGGACUCAAAAAAGUCUGCACUUACUAAUGAUAGAGUAAAAAGUCUCACACAUAUUUUAUUAACUUCUUUUUUCUUGUUUAAUCUGUUUUAUAUUGGAUAAUAUUAUUUUUUACUGAUUAUUAGAUUAAUACAUAAUAUUAAAGAUGUGGCAAGAUAAGAACAUUUGUUGAAUUGAUUUUUUAACUAAUUUGACAACCCUCAAUGUUAAUUUUUGUCUUUCCAAAAAAAUAAAAAAAUAUGAAUUUUUAAGCAUUAGAUAAUUUAAAAGUACUUAUGGUAGAAAAAAAUAUAAUUAUAUAGAAAAAGUUAAAAAUAUUACCCACAAAAACUAUUUAACGAUAAAAUUGAGUUUGUUCAAAAUUGUAAAAAAAAAUGAGAAAAAAUUUUGAAUUUUUUUAACGAAUCACCACUAUCAACUUAUUAAAUUUGAGUAAUAUCAAGUGAGGAUUAAGAAGUAAAACAAGACGAUGAAUCUAAAAGUUUUCUAUUUUUCUUAAUUAAAGUAGUUUUUUACCUUAAAUAACUAUUUUUUAUAAAUAGUAUUCAUAUGACAAACAAAAUAAUAAGAAAAUUCAUAUUAGAUUAUAAAAACUAAUGUCAUUCUUAUUAUAGUAUAAUCAUAUUUUUUCAAAACAUAUAAAAUAAAAUAGUAAAGUACAAUUUAAUUAAUAUGCACAAUAAAAUAUAUAUGAAACUUAUAUAGUGAUAAUCACGACUUGUCAAAAAAAUUAAGAAAAUAACUAUAGUUUUUAUAUAUCUAGAUAUUUAAGAGAGACAAAAGAAUUAUUUUAUCAAAACUUCAACAACACAUAAAAGUUAUCACAAUAGAUGGUUAUAGAUCAAAAUGAUAGAUAAGAUUGAGAGUUAUAAUAAUAGUAUUGGGUGAUAAUUAAUUAUGAUAGAGUGAAGAGAAGAUGGAAAGAAGAAGAAGAAGAAGAAGAAAACAAGAAAUGAGAAGAGAAUAAGAUAAUAUAAUAGUGGUGAUGAAACAAUAUUAGAUAUUUUUUGGUGUCUAGACAAUACUAGAUAUGUGUAUAAAGAAUAUAAUAGUAAGAAAAAAGAAUAGUAUGUGGCACAGUGAGAGAAUAUAAUAAAAAUAUAAAUUAAUAAUUAAAAAUAAUAAAACUAAAAAUAAUUUAAAAAAUUGAAUAUAAAAUUAAAAAAUAUAUAUUUUUUGUGUAGACAUACUUUUAUUAAUGAAAUUGAUUUUUGUUGAAUUUAGACCAAUUUAAUUAGACUUAAUUGUCAAAAAUACUUAAAUGCGUAACAAAAUUCUAUACUUUAUACAAUGGGAACGAAUUUAAGAGAAGUUUAAUGCAUAAUAUUUUUUUAAAAUACUUUUUAUUAUAUAUAAUUAAUAAAAAAUAUCAUUUAUAUUAUAAGAUAUGAAUUCAUCUUCUAUUAAUUAGAAUAUGACGACAUAUUAUAUUUACGAUAUUAAUUAACCUUACAUUUGUGAAAAAAAUCUAAAAUAAAAAAAAAUAUGUAAAAUUAGAACACAAAUUAAAUCUUGUAACCUUUUCUUUUUCUCUUUUUCCAGAAAAGACAAUUCAAUCAGAUAUAUAUCUCCAAAAGUAGACAUUCAUUUGAACUUUGAAGCAUAAUAAACUACAUAUUGGAAGAGAAAAAAAAAUCAUACACCACAAAUAAUAUAUACCUUCAAACACUAAUAAAUUAAAAGACAUAUUAUUAUUAUAGCUAAUCAUUAGGCUCAUAGCUCCAAUCUAUUCGCCAGCUUCCGGGGUACAAAAUAAAGAAAUACAUUAAUUAAAGACUUCGCACAAGUAUAAAAUCUAUUAGCUUUUGAUGAAGUAAUAUAUUCUUGUUGAUGCGCGUCUGAUACACCCGAACCAAGUACCUUUUAGUCUUAUUAUUAUCUUCAUCUUUUGCCAGCAGCUCGAGAUCGUACAUGUAUGAUCUUUUAUUGUGCCAUAAUUCUCUGCAACCAAGGAUCUUUACUAGACUCAGAUUCCUGGUAUAACUCACACUGGAGUUAUACUCCUCGAUAGCAGAAAUCGCCAUAUACCUCACGGUAGGGCUGUUA
rnacentral:lncRNA from 1 species